AGUCGUAACAAGGUUUCCGUAGGUGAACCUGCGGAAGGAUCAUUAACACGUAUCCAAACGUUAAAACAACCCUGUGAACUGCGCCACCCUGAACAUUGAUCCCUGCCGCUUUCAGACAGGGGAGUGCUCUAGGUACCAGGGUGCUUUAUCUAGCGCUCAAUUGCAGCGUCCACGUACACACAGAACUUCCCAAAAUCAAAAUCUGUAAUUCUUUAGCGCCUGAUUUACUCGGGAUUGCUGUUUUGAUGUCCUGCAAGAACACGCUGAAGGUCAACGAUCGCUGUAGGUCCACACGACCGGCGACCGGGGUGGAGGCGAAAGCCUCUACGUCAUCCCUAUGUACCCUCCGGGACUUGGCGAAAGCUGACUCCGUCAUAAAUCGAACAACUGUUAACAAUGGAUAUCUUGGUUCUC
rnacentral:misc_RNA from 1 species